CCCUCCUCCAUUCUCCUUUUCCACUCCACCCAGCAGCCCUAACCUUUCUUCUCCUAUCUCUCUUUCCUCCAGCAGUCACAGAGUAUCAUCGUUCCUCUCUCACCUGAUACCCUCCUCUGUUUGUAUCCUUGAUGUUUCGAGUCUAACCCAACACAAUCCUUUUUACCCUUAAAUUUUUAACCAUGACUCCACCUUAUUUCUUGUUUUGUUUUUUUCUAUCUCUUAUGUAACUCCAUCCUUGUUUCCUCGGUAUAUCUCUAUUUUCUCACAACCUCUUCGCUGCUCUGGUGUACUGUCCUCACGCUAACUCCUCUCUUACCAGCAUCCUUUCUUAUUUUACAGUUACUCCUCCUUUCCCCUGCCAUCCGUCUUGCCUUGCCAUGUUUCCUAGCUGCUGUGAUUUGAUAAUCCCCCCAGUCAUGGACUCCCAGUCUGUAUGUCAUCUGGCAUGACAGAUAGUACCUUUAGCCUUGGGCUGGGGGCCCUUUGACAGAUGGACCAGGCUCACCAGUGAAACCGCCCUACAAAGACAAAAUGCAGUAACUACAGAGUUGAGUAAUGACCUGAAUUUGUCUGUUUUAUUUAAGAACAAAAAUAAUACAUAUAUUUCUUAUAUUUUGAUUAUAUGGCUGAAAAAUGAAAUGAAUACAUCAUCAAAAAGCCUUGUAUAUGUUUGCAAGAGAGCUAGGGGAGACCGGGGCUUGUUGUCACAUGGGUAAGCUGUCACAUUGCAAUUGUCUUUGCCACCAAAGGGCACAACUAAAAAGUGGAAUCCUGGUUUUCUUCCUUUACAUGGACAGAAGUCAUGUCCUGUCUGAGAAGAGAAGAGCACAUUGUGAGCUGAGAUGAGAGCCAAUUAACUAUUUA